GAGAAACGGCUACCACAUCCAAGGAAGGCAGCAGGCGCGCAAAUUACCCACUCCCGGCACGGGGAGGUAGUGACGAAAAAUAACAAUACGGGACUCUUUUGAGACCCCGUAAUUGGAAUGAGUACACUCUAAAUCCUUUAACGAGGAUCUAUUGGAGGGCAAGUCUGGUGCCAGCAGCCGCGGUAAUUCCAGCUCCAAUAGCGUAUAUUAAAGUUGUUGCGGUUAAAAAGCUCGUAGUUGGAUCUCAGUUCCAGACGGGCGGUCCUCCUAACGGUGGUUACUGCCUGGCCUGAACAGCCAGCCGGUUUCCCUAGAUGAUCUUCACCGGUUGUCUUGGGUGACCGGCACGUUUACUUUGAAAAAAUUAGAGUGCUCAAAGCAGGCGUGUAGCCUGAAUAAUGGUGCAUGGAAUAAUGGAAUAGGACUUCGUUUCUAUUUUGUUGGUUUUCGGAACACGAGGUAAUGAUUAAGAGGGACAGACGGGGGCAUUCGUAUUGCGACGCUAGAGGUGAAAUUCUUGGACCGUCGCAAGACGAACUA
rnacentral:rRNA from 1 species